rnacentral:rRNA from 1 species
AUUAACCGGAUUAGAUACCCUGGUAGUCCACGCCCUAAACGAUGUCUACUAGUUGUCGGGUUUUAAUUAACUUGGUAACGCAGCUAACGCGUGAAGUAGACCGCCUGGGGAGUACGGUCGCAAGAUUAAAACUCAAAGGAAUUGACGGGGACCCGCACAAGCGGUGGAUGAUGUGGAUUAAUUCGAUGCAACGCGAAAAACCUUACCUACCCUUGACAUGUACGGAAGGCCGAAGAGAUUUGGCUGUGCUCGAAAGAGAACCGUAACACAGGUGCUGCAUGGCUGUCGUCAGCUCGUGUCGUGAGAUGUUGGGUUAAGUCCCGCAACGAGCGCAACCCUUGUCAUUAGUUGCUACGAAAGGGCACUCUAAUGAGACUGCCGGUGACAAACCGGAGGAAGGUGGGGAUGACGUCAAGUCCUCAUGGCCCUUAUGGGUAGGGCUUCACACGUCAUACAAUGGUACAUACAGAGCGCCGCCAACCCGCGAGGGGGAGCUAAUCGCAGAAAGUGUAUCGUAGUCCGGAUUGUAGUCUGCAACUCGACUGCAUGAAGUUGGAAUCGCUAGUAAUCGCGGAUCAGCAUGUCGCGGUGAGUACGUUCCCGGGUCUUGUACACACCGCCCGUCACACCAUGGGAGCGGGUUUUACCAGAAGUAGGUAGCUUAACCGCAAGGAGGGCGCUUACCACGGUAGGAUUCGUGACUGGGGUGAAGUCGUAACAAGGUAACCGUA